rnacentral:rRNA from 1 species
AUUGAACGCUGGCGGCAGGCUUAACACAUGCAAGUCGAGCGGAGAUGAGGUGCUUGCACCUUAUCUUAGCGGCGGACGGGUGAGUAAUGCUUAGGAAUCUGCCUAUUAGUGGGGGACAACAUUCCGAAAGGAAUGCUAAUACCGCAUACGCCCUACGGGGGAAGCAGGGGAUCUUCGGACCUUGCGCUAAUAGAUGAGCCUAAGUCGGAUUAGCUAGUUGGUGGGGUAAAGGCCUACCAAGGCGACGAUCUGUAGCGGGUCUGAGAGGAUGAGCCGCCACACUGGGACUGAGACACGGCCCAGACUCCUACGGGAGGCAGCAGUGGGGAAUAUUGGACAAUGGGCGGAAGCCUGAUCCAGCCAUGCCGCGUGUGUGAAGAAGGCCUUUUGGUUGUAAAGCACUUUAAGCGAGGAGGAGGCUACCUGGAUUAAUACUCUAGGAUAGUGGACGUUACUCGCAGAAUAAGCACCGGCUAACUCUGUGCCAGCCGCCGCGGUAACAC